rnacentral:rRNA from 1 species
AGUGAACGCUGGCGGUAGGCCUAACACAUGCAAGUCGAACGGCAGCACAGGAGAGCUUGCUCUCUGGGUGGCGAGUGGCGGACGGGUGAGGAAUACAUCGGAAUCUACUCUGUCGUGGGGGAUAACGUAGGGAAACUUACGCUAAUACCGCAUACGACCUACGGGUGAAAGCAGGGGACCUUAUGGCCUUGCCCGAUUGAAUGAGCCGAUGUCGGAUUAGCUAGUUGGCGGGGUAAAGGCCCACCAAGGCGACGAUCCGUAGCUGGUCUGAGAGGAUGAUCAGCCACACUGGAACUGAGACACGGUCCAGACUCCUACGGGAGGCAGCAGUGGGGAAUAUUGGACAAUGGGCGCAAGCCUGAUCCAGCCAUACCGCGUGGGUGAAGAAGGCCUUCGGGUUGUAAAGCCCUUUUGUUGGGAAAGAAAUCCAGCUGGCUAAUACCCGGUUGGGAUGACGGUACCCAAAGAAUAAGCACCGGCUAACUUCGUGCCAGCCGCCGCGGUAA